GCAAAUUAGAAAACUAUUGUAGGAUCUAAAAAUAGAAGUUUGAGAUUUGUCCACGUCAUCUUUUACUCAUGGUGAUUUGGACAAAUCUCAAACAUCUAUUUUUGGAUCCUACGAUAGUUUCCUGGUUUGC
rnacentral:pre_miRNA from 1 species